CGCCCACUUCCUCACUUCGCGGCUCUGGAAAGUCUGGGCCAGGACGCAUUCUUUGUCUGACUCGGGGCGGUGGGGGGGGCGGUCGCGCCCCCCUACACCCCCUUCCCGGCGGCGAGGCCGGGAGGGGCGGAGCCCGCGUCGCGGCGAGGGCGGGCCCGGGUGGCCUCUCCAGCACCCCCGGCCUCGCGCUGCCCCCCGCGGCCCCCACCUGUUCCCUGGCGGCUGGGGCCGGGGUCCCUGGGGACUCGCGGGUCCCCUGAUUCAGCGCGCCCAGCCCGGCCCGGCUGGAACAAAGUGCGGCGGGCCCAGGCCCGGCGGCUCCCGGCUGCUCCGCCCGGCCGCGCGGGGCAGUUUGCAAACACAAAGUGCGCCGCAGAGCCAGCCAGAGUUGGAGCGGCCGCCGGCCCAGCCCCACGCGUCUCCGCGCGCCGCCACCUACCUGUCGGGCCCGGCUCAGCCCGCGCGGGGCAUGGGGCUCGCUGGGGUCCCCGCCUGCCCGCCGCCGCCCUGGCGUCCUCCCGCGCCGCGCGCCCUAGCCGCGCCGGGCCAUCGCGGGCGCCUCGGCGGGAGCUCCGCGCGCCCCAGCUCCGUGCUGCUCCGGCCUCCGGGGCCCGGGCGUCUCCGCCCCCCGGCUCAGCCCUGGCUCCUCCCCACCGCGCCGCGCCCUCCUCGCGCGCUGGGCUCCGUCCCGGCCGCCGCCGCUCGCUCCGGGCUGCAGGGCGGCCGGCUCCGGACUCCGCGGGCUGCGACCUGAGCCGGUGCGAAGGCGGCGCGCGGGCGGGGGUGGGGCCGGGGCGCGCCGCCGAGCGGCGGGCAGGCGGGGCUCAACUCCGCGCUACCGUAAUCCGCCUAAAGCUGGCGCAGCACGUCCACUGCCGGGCCGCGGGGAGACCACGUGGACCGAACUUCAGGGAGAACAGACCGGCACGUGGGACGGGCCGUGGGGCUACGGAUCUGAAAGGGGCUUUGCAGAGAGACCUCAGAGGGUGUCCGGCCUCGGAGCGGUUCCAGGGAACGCUGUGCCAACCCCACCUUCCUGUGGAGCCCUGAGGUCAUUCCGGACUCCCGACGCCGCCGCCAGUCCCUUGGUGAGACAGCAGCACCACUGGCGUCCGUGGCCUCUGUUUCCGUGGCAACCCAGUAACCAUUAAUUUUCAAUUAAAGGAGACAAAAAGCUCAAUGACAGCUCCAGGUCCGCUGAAGAUGUCAAGAAUGUGUAUUAAUAUACAGCACGAGAGCAUAAUUGUGUGUCCAUCUUCCAGAGCAGCGAAAAAUGGAGGGAUAAUUACCAGCUCGAAAGCCACUCUGUAAUUUAGUUCUUACUGUCACCACAACCCUGCACAUUAGCAUAAAUUAAAAGCGGAGUUUAUUGUUAUCAAAGUGCAUCGAUACCGCCAG
rnacentral:lncRNA from 1 species